UCCACCUACGGGAGGCAGCAGUGAGGAAUAUUGGUCAAUGACCGAGAGGCUGAACCAGCCAAGUCGCGUGAGGGAUGACGGCCCUACGGGUUGUAAACCUCUUUUGUCGGGGAGCAAGACCCGCCACGAGUGGCGGAGCAAGAGUACCCGAAGAAAAAGCAUCGGCUAACUCCGUGCCAGCAGCCGCGGUAAUACGGAGGAUGCGAGCGUUAUCCGGAUUUAUUGGGUUUAAAGGGUGCGCAGGCGGACCAUCAAGUCAGCGGUAAAAUCGUGGGGCC
rnacentral:rRNA from 1 species